rnacentral:rRNA from 1 species
GGUGAACGCUGGCGGCGUGCCUAAUACAUGCAAGUCGAGCGGACGGACGAGAAGCUUGCUUUUCUGAUGUUAGCGGCGGGCGGGUGAGUAACACGUGGAUCACCUACCUAUAAGACUGGGAUAACUUCGAAAAACCGGAGCUAAUAUCGGAUAAUAUUUUUAACCAAAUGGUUCAGGAAUAGAAGACGGUCUUGCUAUCACUUAUAGAUGUAUCCGCGCUGCAUUAGAUAGUUGGUAAGGUAACGGCUUACCAAGGCAACGAUGCAUAGCCGAACUGAGAGGGUGACCGGUCACAGUGGAACGGAGACAAGCUCCAGAACCCGAAGGGAGGCAGCAGCCGGGAAUCUUCCGCAAUGGGCGAAAGCGUGACGUAGCAACGCCGCGUGAGUCAUGAAGGUCUUCGGAUCGUAAAACUCUGUUAUUAGGGAAGAACAUAUGUGUAAGUAACGGUGAACAUCUUGACGGUACCUAAUCAGAAAGCAACGGCUAACUACGUG